CAUGCAUCGGUGGGGUCCCUCAGCCUGGCCUGUGCCCUUUCACAAUCCAGGACCCCUUGGGGAUGUUGGAGAGCCAAUUUUGGUCCUAUCACACAGGCCAGGCUGAGGGACCCCACUGGUGCACA
rnacentral:pre_miRNA from 1 species